CAAACAUUACAUAAUAAAGUUUAUUAUAAAAUAAGAUUAAACAACUUAAAUUAAGUGGAGUCUUCUUAUAAAUGCAUGAUAUCAAUCUAUCAUGCAACAUGCAUGAGGUAUAAACUUCUUGAAUGAUAAAGAAACAUCUUUGGGAUAAUAAUGGCUUAUGUUAAAUCAUUUUUUUAGCAUGGUACUAUUGUAUGUUACGCAAAAGAUUCAUGACAAUUGUUAUUGCUUAACACGUUUUCAACCUAACAUUGCAUAUUCACAAGAAAAUGCAUAUACUUGGAGAAAAUUACAAAGUUUUUAUACAAAUCAUUCGGAUUAGUGAGUUCCAAAACUCACAAUUCAUAGAGAUUAUUAUAUUGUCAAAUCACAUACAAACACUCAAAGUAUCCUAAUACCCCAUAAUAAUAAAAAAAAAAACCAAAAA